rnacentral:rRNA from 1 species
CAGUCGCCACGGGAACACCAGCACCUCGAGUGGUCAGGAGGUUUAUUGGGCCUAAAGCAUCCGUAGCCGGUUGCAUAAGUUUUCGGUUAAAUCUAUGCGCUUAACGUAUAGGCCGCCGAAAAUACUGUGCAGCUAGGGAGUGGGAGAGGUACACGGUACUCGAUAGGAAGGGGUAAAAUCCUUUGAUCUAUUGAUGACCACCUGUGGCGAAGGCGGUGUACCAGAACACGUUCGACGGUGAGGGAUGAAAGCUGGGGGAGCAAACCGGAUUAGAUACCCGCGUAGUCCCUGUCUCUUAUAC